rnacentral:rRNA from 1 species
UACAGAGGGUGCAAGCGUUAAUCGGAAUUACUGGGCGUAAAGCGCACGUAGGCGGGUAUUUAAGUCGAUUGUGAAAGCCCCGGGCUUAACCUGGGAACUGCAGUCGAUACUGGAUGCCUAGAGUAUGGUAGAGGAAGGUGGAAUUCCCGGUGUAGCGGUGAAAUGCAUAGAUAUCGGGAGGAACAUCAGUGGCGAAAGCGGCCUUCUGGACCAAUACUGACGCUGAGGUGCGAAAGCGUGGGGAGCAAACAGG